rnacentral:rRNA from 1 species
UACGGAGGGGGCUAGCGUUGUUCGGAAUUACUGGGCGUAAAGCGCACGUAGGCGGCUUAGCAAGUCGGAUGUGAAAUCCCUCGGCUCAACCAAGGAAGUGCAUCCGAAACUGCUGAGCUUGAGUACGAAAGAGGAUCGCGGAAUUCCCGGUGUAGAGGUGAAAUUCGUAGAUAUCGGGAGGAACACCAGUGGCGAAGGCGGCGAUCUGGGUCGAUACUGACGCUGAGGUGCGAAAGCGUGGGGAGCAAACAGG